rnacentral:rRNA from 1 species
UACGAAGGGUGCAAGCGUUACUCGGAAUUACUGGGCGUAAAGCGUGCGUAGGUGGUUUGUUAAGUCUGUUGUGAAAGCCCCGGGCUCAACCUGGGAAUGGCAAUGGAUACUGGCAGGCUAGAGUAUGGCAGAGGGGGGGUAGAAUUCCACGUGUAGCAGUGAAAUGCGUAGAGAUGUGGAGGAAUACCGAUGGCGAAGGCAGCCCCCUGGGCCCAAUACUGACGCUCAUGCACGAAAGCGUGGGGAGCAAACGAAGGAUUAGAGUACCCCAAGAUGA